rnacentral:rRNA from 1 species
UACAGAGGGGGCAAGCGUUGUCCGGACUCACUGGGCGUAAAGGGUGCGUAGGCGGUUUGGAGCGUUCGCACUGAAAUCCCACAGCUUAACUGCGGGGCGCGUGCGAAUACGACUAAACUAGAGGCAGGGAGAGGAUGGGGGAACUCCUGGUGUAGUGGUGAAAUGCGUAGAGAUCAGGAAGAACACCCGUGGCGCAAGCGCCCAUCUGGUCCUGUCCUGACGCUGUGGCACGAAAGCGUGGGGAGCGAACCGGAUUAGAUACCCGGGUAGUCCACGCUGUAAACGAUGUCGACUCGGUGUGUGGUGGCCGUUAUGGCCGCUGCGUGCCUUAGCUCACGCGGGAAGUCGACCGCCUGGGGACUACGAGCGCAAGCUUAAA